GGCAGACGGGUGAGUAACGCGUGGGAACGUGCCCUUCAGUUCGGAAUAACCCAGGGAAACUUGGGCUAAUACCGGAUACGUGCGAGAGCAGAAAGAUUGAUCGCUGAAGGAGCGGCCGCGUCUGAUUAGCUAGUUGGUGAGGUAACGGCUCACCAAGGCGACGAUCAGUAGCUGGUCUGAGAGGAUGAUCAGCCACACUGGGACUGAGACACGGCCCAGACUCCUACGGGAGGCAGCAGUGGGGAAUAUUGGACAAUGGGCGCAAGCCUGAUCCAGCCAUGCCGCGUGAGUGAUGAAGGCCUUAGGGUUGUAAAGCUCUUUCGCACGCGACGAUAAUGACGGUAGCGUGAGAAGAAGCCCCGGCUAACUUCGUGCCAGCCGCCGCGG
rnacentral:rRNA from 1 species